rnacentral:rRNA from 5 species
AAAACGACUCUCGGCAACGGAUAUCUCGGCUCACGCAUCGAUGAAGAACGUAGCAAAAUGCGAUACUUGGUGUGAAUUGCAGAAUCCCGUGAACCAUCGAGUUUUUGAACGCAAGUUGCGCCCGAAGCCUUUUGGCCGAGGGCACGUCUGCCUGGGCGUCACAC